GGCUCAGCACCUGGCUUAAAGUUAUAAUACCAGGAUUUACAUUAUUCUUAGCCACAGGCAUAUUUUCCACCAGCUUUUAACAACCCACCACCUCCUUUUCCCCUUCCCUCCCACACAAUAACUGGGAUGACUUGUCUAGAUCUUAGGCAACAAUUCUCUUAGCACAUCAGCUCCUGGAAACAAAUGCACUUAACCAGAAAAACAGGGACAUCAACCAGCAAAGAUGCAUCCUCAUUUAAUAGAGCUUGAAAUUACUAUAAUCUGUAAAGUACAGCGAGAAGAAGAAGUUUCACCUGCCUGCACAUCUGUCGUUGACUCUCCAUCUGACUUGGAGGGACUCUGAGGGACCAACCUGAGCCUGAGAAGAGGCAAGAUUCCCCUUCAAGGACACACUGGGAACUUACGGACCUCUUUCUCCAUGGUGCAGAGCGCAGAGGUGAACAAACAGACGCAUAAUAGCUCUUGAGCUUGCCAUUGGGAAGUGAAAAUCAACUGCUUGAAUAAAUGUAAGGACUCAGGUAGACAUCACCUUGUGACUCAACAGCAGCCAAUAAGAUGGAAAUAAAGGCCAUGAAGUUAUCGGAUGGCAUCUACAAGGAAUACUUAGAUGAGGAGGUGACUCUGGUAGCAAUUGUUCUUUUGUCUUUCUCACCUUCCUUCUUGUCCUGUCUGGGAUGCUGAAGUGAUGGCUGGUAUACAGAUGCCCUGUUGUGAUGUUGAGAUAAACAUGAGAAUAAAAGUCGGCGAUUACAGAUGGCAGAGAAGAGAGAGAAAGAUAGGAUGUAGGUGGAUAUUGACGGAACUAAGUUUCUAUUGCACAAGUUCUACCACCAACCUCUGGACUUCAUGAUAUGUGAGGGAGAAAUAAACUCCUAUUUUAGAAGAGAUCUAUGUUACCUGCAACUGAACGGAAUGCUUAAUUGGCACAUCCUAUGUGCUCCAAACCUUCCUUAAUUUCUGUGUGUAAGGCAUACUUAGUCUUUACCCAUUAUUCUGUUCACAUUCAUUCACUUGAUCAGCCUCCCAACUCUAUGGUAAAGAGUUUACUACAGUUUACUCUAUUAGUAAGGGAGAUUCUGGAGCAAGCCCCACAAAUCAUAGAUUGAAUACCCAUUCAUUAAGAGAGAGAUUUAAAGAUACUUCUAUCCAAACACAUUUUAAAUUUCCAGCACCUUUGAGGUGGUGGAGGUUCAUGGUGGUUGAUAGGGUUUAAAUGACUUGUGAUUCAAGCUCCAUAUUACAAUGUAACAGUGCAAAAGUUCAUUUUUUUAAAUUUAUUUUACUUUAAGUUCUGGUAUACAUGUGUAGAACAUGCGGGUUUGUUACAUAGGUAUACAUGUGCCAUGGUGGUUUGCUGCACCUAUCAAACCGUCACCUAGGUUUUAAGAACCACAUGCAUUAGGUAUUUGACCUAAUGCUCUCCCUCAUGUUGCCCCCCAACUCCCUGACAGGGCCCAGUGUGUGAUGUUCCCCUCCCUGUGUCCAUGUGUUCUCAUUGUUCAACUCCCACUUAUGAGUGAGAACAUGUGGUGUUUGAUUUUCUGUUCCUGUGUUAGUUUGCUGAGAAUGAUGGCUUCCAGCUUCAUCCAUGUCCCUGCAAAGGACACGAACUCAUUCUUUUUUAUGGCUUCAUAAUAUUCCAUGAGUCUGGAUUUGGUUACAGAUAGAGCUGGACAAGCCUUAGCUAUAUCUAAUGGCUUUUGACAUGUUAUAUCAAUUUCUUACUGCUUUUGUAAAUGAAUAUAUUAAGAAGAAAAAAUUACAAAUGACCCUUUCUUCACAAACUUUUAGGGUAAUCAAGUUCAGUUAUUAAAAAAUGGAUGUUUGCAACAUUCAUAGUAAUUAUUUUCAGAAAAUUAAAAAUGAUUAAAAAUUAUAUUUUCAUCCCAUUCAGAUAUUAUAUAUUUAACUGUGAGAUAAUUCUCAGAGAUAAAUGUCAACUUUUAAAAAAUGCUAAAUAAAUUAAAUCAAAAUAUCCCCUCUAAAAUAAAUAAAUUAGCUCCGAUUAUUUCUUCUUUUUAAAUUUUUCCUUAUAGUUGUAAAAAUAAAGUGAACGUUUU
rnacentral:lncRNA from 1 species